rnacentral:tRNA from 1 species
GGCUCAGUAGUUUAAUUAAGACGUCAGGCUGCAAUCUUGAAGAUGUACAGAUUACCUGGGCUU